rfam:Danio rerio chromosome 2 genomic contig CTG124, GRCz11 reference primary assembly.
GGCCACAGCCAUGUCACCCUGCAGCCCAAGACCGGUUACUCACUGAAGCUAAGCAGGGCUGAGCCUGGUCAGUUCCUGGAUGGGAGACCACUAGGGAACACUCGGUUGCUGUUGGAA